UGAGGAACAUGACCUUCGGCGGGGGAUAGCCGGCCCAACGGCCGGGUAAUACCGCGUACGACCACAUGGGGACAUCCCCGAGUGGUGAAAGCAGCAAUGCGCCGAUGGAGUGCCUCGCGGCCUAUCAGCUAGUUGGUGGGGUAACGGCUCACCAAGGCAACGGCGGGUAGCUGGUCUGAGAGGAUGGCCAGCCACAUUGGGACUGAGACACGGCCCAGACCUCCGUACGGGAGCAG
rnacentral:rRNA from 1 species